rnacentral:rRNA from 1 species
GUCCCUCGCGGAUGGAGCUGAAAUCAGUCGAAGAUACCAGCUGGCUGCAACUGUUUAUUAAAAACACAGCACUGUGCAAACACGAAAGUGGACGUAUACGGUGUGACGCCUGCCCGGUGCCGGAAGGUUAAUUGAUGGGGUUAGCGGUAACGCGAAGCUCUUGAUCGAAGCCCCGGUAAACGGCGGCCGUAACUAUAACGGUCCUAAGGUAGCGAAAUUCCUUGUCGGGUAAGUUCCGACCUGCACGAAUGGCGUAAUGAUGGCCAGGCUGUCUCCACCCGAGACUCAGUGAAAUUGAACUCGCUGUGAAGAUGCAGUGUACCCGCGGCAAGACGGAAAGACCCCGUGAACCUUUACUAUAGCUUGACACUGAACAUUGAGCCUUGAUGUGUAGGAUAGGUGGGAGGCUUAGAAGUGUGGACGCCAGUCUGCAUGGAGCCGACCUUGAAAUACCACCCUUUAAUGUUUGAUGUUCUAACGUUGACCCGUAAUCCGGGUUGCGGACAGUGUCUGGUGGGUAGUUUGACUGGGGCGGUCUCCUCCUAAAGAGUAACGGAGGAGCACGAAGGUUGGCUAAUCCUGGUCGGACAUCAGGAGGUUAGUGCAAUGGCAUAAGCCAGCUUGACUGCGAGCGUGACGGCGCGAGCAGGUGCGAAAGCAGGUCAUAGUGAUCCGGUGGUUCUGAAUGGAAGGGCCAUCGCUCAACGGAUAAAAGGUACUCCGGGGAUAACAGGCUGAUACCGCCCAAGAGUUCAUAUCGACGGCGGUGUUUGGCACCUCGAUGUCGGCUCAUCACAUCCUGGGGCUGAAGUAGGUCCCAAGGGUAUGGCUGUUCGCCAUUUAAAGUGGUACGCGAGCUGGGUUUAGAACGUCGUGAGACAGUUCGGUCCCUAUCUGCCGUGGGCGCUGGAGAACUGAGGGGGGCUGCUCCUAGUACGAGAGGACCGGAGUGGACGCAUCACUGGUGUUCGGGUUGUCAUGCCAAUGGCACUGCCCGGUAGCUAAAUGCGGAAGAGAUAAGUGCUGAAAGCAUCUAAGCACGAAACUUGCCCCGAGAUGAGUUCUCCCUGACUCCUUGAGAGUCCUGAAGGAACGUUGAAGACGACGACGUUGAUAGGCCGGGUGUGUAAGCGCAGCGAUGCGUUGAGCUAACCGGUACUAAUGAACCGUGAGGCUUAACCUU